rnacentral:rRNA from 1 species
AUUGAACGCUGGCGGCAGGCCUAACACAUGCAAGUCGAGCGAGCGGCGCACGGGAGAGUAAUGUAUGGAGACUGCCCGAUAGAGGGGGAUAACCACUGAAAACGGUGGCUAAUACCGCAUACUAUCAGAUAACCCAUAGGGGAUUAGCUAGUGGGGGGGGUAAAGGCUCACCUAGGCGACGAUCUCUAGCUGGUCUGAGAGGAUGAUCAGCCACACUGUAACUGAGACACGGCCCAGACUCCUACGGCGGCAGCAGUGGGGAAUAUUGCACAAUGGGCGCAAGCCUGAUGCAGCCAUGCCGCGUGUAUGAAGAAGGCCUUAGGGUUGUAAAGUACUUUCAGCGGGGAGGCGUUACCCGCAGAAGAAGCACCGGCUAACUCCGUGCCAGCAGCCGCGGUAAUAC